GGUUAGUGGCAGACGGGUGAGUAAUGCAUAGGAAUCUGCCUAGUAGUAUAGGAUAGCCACUAGAAAUGGUGGGUAAUACUGUAUAAUCCCUGCGGGGGAAAGAUUUAUCGCUACUAGAUGAGCCUAUGUCAGAUUAGCUAGUUGGUGGGGUAAUGGCCCACCAAGGCUGUGAUCUGUAGCUGGUCUGAGAGGAUGAUCAGCCACACUGGAACUGAGACACGGUCCAGACUCCUACGGGAGGCAGCGGUGGGGAAUAUUGGACAAUGGGCGCAAGCCUGAUCCAGCUAUGCCGCGUGAGUAAGGAAGGCCUUAGGGUUGUAAAACUCUUUCAGUAGGGAAGAUAAUGACGGUACCUACAGAAAAAGUCCCGGCAAACUC
rnacentral:rRNA from 1 species